rnacentral:rRNA from 1 species
AGAUUGAACGCUAGCGGGAUGCUUUACACAUGCAAGUCGAACGGCAGCGCGGACUUCGGUCUGGCGGCGAGUGGCGAACGGGUGAGUAAUAUAUCGGAACGUGCCCAGUAGCGGGGGAUAACUACGCGAAAGCGUGGCUAAUACCGCAUACGCCCUACGGGGGAAAGGGGGGGAUCGCAAGACCUCUCACUAUUGGAGCGGCCGAUAUCGGAUUAGCUAGUUGGUGGGGUAAAGGCUCACCAAGGCUUCGAUCCGUAGCUGGUUUGAGAGGACGACCAGCCACACUGGGACUGAGACACGGCCCAGACUCCUACGGGAGGCAGCAGUGGGGAAUUUGGACAAUGGGGGAAACCCUGAUCCAGCCAUCCCGCGUGUGCGAUGAAGGCCUUCGGGUUGUAAGCACUUUGGCAGGAAGAAACGGCGCCGGAUAAUACCUGGCGUCACUGACGGUACCUGCAGAAUAAGCACCGGCUAACUACGUGCCAGCACGCCGAC